GGGCCCAUAGCUCAGUAGGCAGAGCGCCAAUAUGGCAUGUUGGAGGUCGUGGGUUCAAAUCCCACUGGGUCCA
rnacentral:tRNA from 1 species